GUCCUGUGAAUAGACCAUUUUCAGCCUAACGUUUGUAACGUAACACCAUAACUACAAUCAAGUUCUGCCUCUCCUAGGAGAAAUAGCAUGACUCUGCUGCCUGACUUCUGAGCAUGUCUGCCUGAACAUCUGAACACCCUGGUUGCUACCAGAUCAAGUCAUUUUGUCAUGUCCAUUAGGCCUGGUUUGCACUGUUACUGUGGCCAGUGUGAAAGCAAAGGUGUCAGCUUCCCGCAACUCUGAUCUCAAUCCUUCUGAUUUCCUUUAAUUUUUUACUGUGAUGGAUGCUGGAGAGAGUAUAGCAAAUCCCUUAAGAGCCUGGACUGUGACACCUGCAGUGUGUUCCUUCAUCUCUGGCCUUCCAUGUGCAAGGUUGUUUGCAGCAUUUAUGGACCUUUGGGAUUCCUGACUUACUGAUGGUGGAUUUACGGUAUAAUCCAAUGGUUACCCCAGUACAGGAUGCAGAAAAAAACUCACCCUAACACAGAACAUGUUCUCAUUAUGGUGGAAGCAACAGGCAUAGGCUGCUGAGAACCCAUAUGAAAAAUGCAUGAUGGGAUAGAUCUUGCUGGUUAAACUGGGGCAGAAGUCAGACUUCUUUCUGGAUUAUGCCCCGCUCACUCCUUUGGAAAAAAAUAUUAUAUUAUGGAGAGAGACACAAGACUCAUACUGGGAGAUUCUAAUGAAAAUUUGUAAUACAAGGAGUUUUUGGAACUUCUGAAAGCCUUGGUCAAACACGUGUGCCUUUAAGUUGAGUUGCAGACCUCUGUAUCCUUGCCCUGGUUUCAUUGAUAUUAUAACACCAAAAAAAAUAUUCUGAAAUAUCUGUCAUCCAGAUUAAUUUCUGUGUUCUCUAUAUCCUUGCUGCUCAACAUGUGGUUUCUGAACCGGCACUGUUGUAAUCUCUCACACAUUUGUUAGAAAGGUAGACUCUCAAACUUUACUGUAGACUUACUGUAUCAGAAAUUGCAUUCUCAAAUGAUCUCCUAGUCAUUGGAUACACAUUUGGCAAACAAUGAUCUAUAUUACCACAGCAUUCCAAGGGGCCAUAGGUACUCAGUAGGGAGUUGGUUCUGACAUCCAGUCAUAAUGAGGUGGGUGAGAAACUUCAUUAGCCAAUGAAAAAGAAUGGUUAAGUCAGAAGACCCUGAAAGGUUUUUCUUGUCCAUCUCUUAAGGCAAAUGCAAGCCAGAAGCAAGGAACAGCCUUGGGGAGGAAGAGGGCUUCAUAUUCCAAUGAAGACACAUUUGGAGUGAUCUUAAAUGAGAACCAAAUUCAUCAGCUUUAAUGAAAGUCUGAGAAAGUGAUGGAAUUUUAAGAUUAGUAUGAAGUAGGUGAACACUGUUUAAGAUUUUCCAUCUGGGUCUAGGGAAGAAUCUGGGGUAAUAGCCAUUUAUGUGCCACACUGCCUAAGAAUUCUUUGCUUUUGUGCAUGAACACUGUUUGCAGAAAUAAACCAUUUUCCUUUUUUUUUUGGUGUGUUUGUUUAUAUUUCAGAUAUAAUCAGGAUACUGAAAAAGGAUAGUAGCCAUUUUCCUUGGUAUUACUACAGAGAUCCCUGGUAUUUCUAUUUCAUAGUAUUUUGUAUGCUUUUUACUGCUGAGUUAGAAUGGCAAGACUCCCCACCUUUUUUUACUUUAAGUUACAUGAGGCCAACGGGUUUGUUGGUAGUGUUUACCAGCAGGGCUUUUGGAACCCGAUGGAACAAAUAGCAACUGCUACUUGUUUAUGUGCAGAAGGCAAGUGAUUCAUAUGUAGGAUAAAGAGUACUAUGGUGGUAGGUGAGCAGAGGCUUGAGGCGGCGCAGAGAGGAGGACCUCACUACCAUCUGAAAGACGACCAAGAUAAGUGGGGGUGCACCCACCCCAAUGGGGUGCUUCAGAAGAAGAAUGAAAUGCAGUGCUAAAAUAGAGAUAGUGAAGAGGAGGUGAUGAGAAAUCAGUAAUCAGUAGAAGACCAGAAUGAGCUUAAAUGCUGGGGCAUAAGAGAAAGAUAAAUGUCUCUCUUGCAGUCACUAUUUUGGUGACCAACAAACAAACAAACAAACAAAACAAAAAAACAACAAAAACCCUAAACCAAAACACACACACACACACACACACACACACACACACA